rnacentral:rRNA from 1 species
AGUGAACGCUGGCGGCAGGCCUAACACAUGCAAGUCGAGCGGCAGCGGGUCCCCGCGAGGGGAUGCCGGCGAGCGGCGGACGGGUGAGGAACACAUCGGAAUCUGCCUGGUUGUGGGGGAUAACGUAGGGAAACUUACGCUAAUACCGCAUGCGACCCUGAGUCGACGGACUUGGGGGUGAAAGUGAGGGACCUUCGGGCCUCACGCGACCAGAUGAGCCGAUGUCGGAUAGCUAGUUGGCGGGGUAACGGCCCGCCAAGGCGACGAUCCGUAGCUGGUCUGAGAGGAUGAUCAGCCACACUGGGACU